rnacentral:rRNA from 1 species
CCUACGGGAGGCUGCAGUGGGGAAUAUUGGGCAAUGGGCGCAAGCCUGACCCAGCAACGCCGCGUGAAGGAAGAAGGUUUUCGGUUUGUAAACUUCUUUUCUCAGGGACGAAGAAAGUGACGGUACCUGAGGAAUAAGCCACGGCUAACUACGUGCCAGCAGCCGCGGUAAUCCGUAGGUGGCAAGCGUUAUCCGGAUUUAUUGGGUGUAAAGGGCGUGUAGGCGGGAGCGCAAGUCAGAUGUGAAAACUCAGGGCUCAACCCUGAGCAUGCAUUUGAAACUGUGAUUCUUGAGUGCUGGAGAGGCAAGCGGAAUUCCGUGUGUAGCGGUGAAAUGCGUAGAUAUACGGAGGAACACCAGUGGCGAAGGCGGAUUGCUGGACAGUAACUGACGCUGAGGCGCGAAAGCAUGGGGAGCAAACAGGAUUAGAUACCCCAGUAGUC